rnacentral:lncRNA from 1 species
UUUUUAUUUUUUUGUCUUUUGUCCUUUUAGGCCCGCACCCUCAGCGUAUAGAGGCUCCCAGGCUGGGGGUUGAAUCAGAGCUGUAGCCACUGGCCUAUGCCACAGCCACAGCAAUGCAAGAUCCGAGUUGCAUCUGUGACCUACACCACAGCUCACGGCAAUGCCACAUCCUUAACCCACUGAUCGAGGUCAGGGAUCAAACCCGCAACCUCAUGUUUCCCAGGUGGAUUCGUUUCUGCUGUGCCAUGAUGGGAACUCCUGGCUUUAUUUUUAAACAAUGGGAGCUUUUCAUCUCAGAGGGCCUCUGAGAUUAAUCCCAUCUUUAAAGAACUAAUUUGAAAUCAUCCCCAAACUUUUAACAAUUAAAUUUCUGAUAUAUAUAAUACCAUCUCCUUGAAAACUAGUAACUAAAAUGUUCCUACUAUAUAUAGGAAUAAGUGUAUCUACAAAAGCAGGAGUUCCUGUUAUGUCUCAGUGGUACCGAAUCCAUGAAGAUAAAGGUUCCGUCCCUGGCCUCAUUCAGUGAGUUAAGGAUUAGGUGUUGCUGUGAGCUGUGGUGUAGGUUGCAGCUACGGCUCUGAUUUGACUCCUAGCCUGGGAACUUAUAUAUGCCGCAGCUGCGGUCUUGAAAAGACAAAAACAAAACAAAACACAGAAACAAUAACAAAAACAAUAUAGAUCUAAAACCUUUACUAGCCAUAUGUGAGCAUACUAAAAUAUUUAAAAUACUAAAAGCUGCAAUUGCCUCACAGCUCACACAUUCCUGAUCUCUCUAGGUGAACAUGGCACUGCUGCUGGUGACUCAUGAAGGAGAAAUAGUCAAUAUGAGGUCCCCUGUCCCGAGUUAAAGAUGUGAUAUGUGCUCAGCUACUAGGCUCUCAGAUAGGCACUGAGCUGAGUGCUGCAGCUCCUCCUCAGAUAGGACAUUCCCAACACAUGAAAGCCAUGCUAUUCAAGACUGUGUCAAAGCCACAGUUCAUGGAUUCUGUGACACUUCUGUGACACAGUUCAUGGAGUCUGUGAUAAUUCAUGGAUUCAGUUCAUGGAUUCUGUGACAUGGAAAAUUUUACUACACCUGAGUGCAUUAUUCCUCUGCUUAGAACCCAAUGACUUCCAUCCUACUGAGAGGAAAAGCUGAAUCCUUCCUUAUAAUGACUGAGAAGGUCCACAUCUCUGACUUUAUGUCCAAUAGCCCUCCCCAGCUCUCUCUGCUCCAGCUCACAGACCUUUCCACUUGCUGUUUCCUCUGCCCAGAACAUUCUUCCCUCAUAUGCACAUAGUUCACUGUCUCAAAGUCUCUGCCCAAAUGUCUUCUAUCACUGAGCUGUCCUUAGACGGCCCUACUUGAUUAUUUUUUUUUUUUUUGGCCGUGCCCAUGGCAUAUUAAAGUUCCUGAGACAGCGAUCGAACCCACGCCACAGCAGUGUCCCAAGCCACUGCAGUGAUGAUGCCGGACUCUUAACCUGCCGAGCCACAAGGGAACUCCUAGACCGCCCUACUUAAAAGAGCAUCCACUUUAGCUUCCACAUCCAGGGCUUUGUAACCUCCUGUUUAUUGCCCCCACUGCACUUAUCAAUACCUGACACACUAUUUCUUACCUUGUCUAUUAAUUUUCUCUAUCUCCCCUGCCCCAAAACCCUGCACAUUAGCUCAGUUAGGGAAGGAACUUUUUUUUUUUGCUUUUUAGGGCCCCACUUGUAGCAUAUGGAGGUUCCCAGGCUAGGGGUCGAAUUGGAACUGUAGCUGCAGGCCUAUGCCAGAGGCACAACAACGCGGGAUCCGAGCCGCAUCUGCAAUCUACACCACAGCUCACGGCAACGCCGGAUCCUUAACCCACUGAGCGAGGCCAGGGACCGAACCUGCAACCUCAUGGUUCUUAGUCAGAUUCGUUAACCACUGCGCCACGACGGGAACUCCUAAAAUGGUAACAUUUCUAUACGUAGACUCACAAGAUGAGAAAGUGACCUUAGAGCAACAUUUUAAUAUUUCCAGAUAAAGAAACCUAGACUUGAGGGGAAAUGUGACUCGAAGUCACAAAACCAGAGAGGUGGCAAAACCAGCAUCAAACCCAACUCUCUCACCUCCCAAACUAAGGUUCUUUCUACUUCAUCCUCUUGGUAUGAAUUUUUCAUAAUACAUAAAGUCUUAAUCUGAGCAAAGAAUAACUGGUUCAAUGUAAUAGAUCAGCAGGGUUUUAAUCUUCCCCAAUGAGGGUUGAAUGAAUGUGAAAUACAUUCACACAAAGAUUUUCGAGGACAAAUACCCAAGGCUAGUUGAUGUUCUUUACUUUCUGGCCUACUGCAAAAAUGGAAAGGAUAUGUAUGCAAUUUCUAACCUGGUGGCUGCAGCAGGGUACAAUGUUAAGGAAAAUAUGUAAGAAUGUGAGAGAGAACACUGAGGAACAAUAGGCCCGUCUCAGAUCUGAAGGCAUUUAACUUCUUUGACAUGAUACCUAAGUAGAGAAGGCAGUUUUGCCAGUUUAAACUGGGCAAGUCGGAUUCCCGCGUGGUUCAGUGGAAACGAAUCUGACUGAUAUCCACGAGGACACAGGUUCGAUCCCUGGCAUCACACAGUGGGUUAAGGAUCCGGUGUUGCCGUGAGCUGUGGUGUAGGCCAGCAGCUACAGCUCUGAUUCAGCCCUUAGCCUGGGAAACUCUAUAUGCCGUGGGUGCAGCACUAAAAAGACAAAAAAUUAAAAAAUAAAUAAAAUAAACUGGGCAAGCCAAUGACCAAUGACCAAUGAAAAGCACUAAAAAUAGCCCCAAAGAAAGAAGUCAUUCAGUUCCUGUCUCCAUCACUUCCUCACCGUUUUCUGCCGAAGUAGACACUCUACAAAAUCAUCAAAUUCUAUCUUGCACUCCUUCUCUGCACGGAUACCACCGAUUCCAUGUGCACACUCUAUCCAUUCUUUUUCAAAUGCGUGGCAUCGACCUGGAAUCUUGUGAGGCUGCUCAGCACUCUGGAUUGUCAUCCAGCGGUCUAAGUCAAGGCCUAGCCUUUUCUGCACAUCAAAGAAAGGCAUGGCUGAAAUGGAAGGGGGGGGAAGAAAAAGAAAUGAUACCAUAUAAGUGCAAUCAAAUGAGAUAUUUCUAAGAAAAAUUAGGUAAUUAUGAUAGUCUUCUAGAAAGAGGUUUUUUUACUCUUCUCCCUAUUUCUUCUCACCAAGCUUUUUCAUUACAAAGGUUCUUUCACUUUACAGUAAGUGAGCACUUUUUGUGCUUUCACAAAACUCAAGGAAAAGAGAACCAGAACUAAGGAGUUCCCUUCAUGGCUCACGAUUAACGAAUCCGACUAGGAACCAUGAGGUUGUGGGUUCGAUCCCUGCCCUUGCUCAGUGGGAUGGGGAUCUGGUGUUGCCAUGAGCUGUGGUGUAGGUCGCAGACACAGCUCGGAUACCGUGUUGCUGUAACUCUGGCGUAGGCCAGCAGCAACAGCUCCGAUUAGACCCUUAGCCUGGGAAUCAUAUGCUGUGGAUGCGAUCCUAGAAAAGAUUAAAAAAAAAAAAAUCAAACAACUUAAAAAUGCAACAAUAGAGAAAUGGAUAAUUAAAUCUACUACCCAUUUAUUAGAAUGUAGGGGAAGAGAGAAGAAUAAUAUACAUGGAACAUACACUUUAAUGUUAAAUGAAAAAAAAAAAGGUGGAGGAAUACAAUAAUGCCAAGAAAAAUCGCAAAAGAAGACCGGAAGGAAGCACAAAAAAGUUCAACAGCUAUGUAUGAGUGGUAGAUUUACAGGUGAAUUUAAUUUUAAAAUUUUCUAUCCACUCUUUCAGUCAUUUACUGGGUAAUGACGUUCCAGACACAGGAUGGGGUGGGGGAUCGGUUGCAACUUAAGCACUAGGAUGGGGACAUACACAGGGAGUUUGGAAGCCAAUGGAAGGUACACAAGAAGUAAGAACUCCAAGGAGGAAACACCAAUUCUGCCCACGAGACUUGAAAAUGCAUUUAAGAUGGGCUGCGUU